AUCGAACGCUGGCGGCAGGCCUAACACAUGCAAGUCGAGCGAGCGGCGGUCGGGUGCGUAUUGUUUGGGAAACUGCCUGAUGGAGGGGGAUAACUACUGGAAACGGUAGCUAAUACCGCAUAACACCAGAUGUGCCCAGGUGGGAUGAGCUAGUAGGUGGGGGAAUGGCUCACCUAGGCGACGAUCCCUAGCUGGUCUGAGAGGAUGACCAGCCACACUGGAACUGAGACACGGUCCAGACGCCUACGGGAGGCAGCAGUGGGGAAUAUUGCACAAUGGGCGCAAGCCUGAUGCAGCCAUGCCGCGUGUGUGAAGAAGGCCUUCGGGUUGUAAAGCACUUUCAGCGGGGAGGCGUUACUCGCAGAAGAAGCACCGGCUAACUCCGUGCCAGCAGCCGCGGUAAUUC
rnacentral:rRNA from 1 species